rnacentral:lncRNA from 1 species
GUACCAUUCCUGCUGCUCUGUGAUCACCCUGCCUACCCCAGCCUCUUCUUUUGCUAACAGGGAGUAACUUGUGGCAUUUACAGGGGCAUGAAGAUCAAGCCAGGUUCCAUGGGGAAGGCCAUCCCACCCUUCAACAUGCAGAUCAUUGAUGACAAGGGCAACGUCCUGCCACCCCACACU